GAUGAACGCUGGCGGCGUGCCUAAUACAUGCAAGUCGAGCGAACAGAUAAGGAGCUUGCUCCUUUGAAGUUAGCGGCGGACGGGUGAGUAACACGUGGGUAACCUACCUAUAAGACUGGGAUAACUUCGGGAAACCGGAGCUAAUACCGGAUAACAUUUAGAACCACAUGGUUCUAAAGUGAAAGAUGGUUUUGCUAUCACUUAUAGAUGGACCCGCGCCGUAUUAGCUAGUUGGUAAGGUAACGGCUUACCAAGGCGACGAUACGUAGCCGACCUGAGAGGGUGAUCGGCCACACUGGAACUGGGACACGGUCCAGACUCCUACGGGAGGCAGCAGUAGGGAAUCUUCCGCAAUGGGCGAAAGCCUGGCGGAGCAACGCCGCGUGAGUGAUGAAGGGUUUCGGCUCGUAAAACUCUGUUAUUAGGGAAGAACAAAUGUGUAAGUAACUGUGCACAUCUUGACGGUACCUAAUCAGAAAGCCACGGCUAACUACGUGCCAGCAGCCGCGGUAAUACGUAGGUGGCAAGCGUUAUCCGGAAUUAUUGGGCGUAAAGCGCGCGUAGGCGGUUUCUUAAGUCUGAUGUGAAAGCCCACGGCUCAACCGUGGAGGGUCAUUGGAAACUGGGAAACUUGAGUGCAGAAGAGGAAGGUGGAAUUCCAUGUGUAGCGGUGAAAUGCGCAGAGAUAUGGAGGAACACCAGUGGCGAAGGCGACUUUCUGGUCUGUAACUGACGCUGAUGUGCGAAAGCGUGGGGAUCAAACAGGAUUAGAUACCCUGGUAGUCCACGCCGUAAACGAUGAGUGCUAAGUGUUAGGGGGUUUCCGCCCCUUAGUGCUGCAGCUAACGCAUUAAGCACUCCGCCUGGGGAGUACGACCGCAAGGUUGAAACUCAAAGGAAUUGACGGGGACCCGCACAAGUGGUGGAGCAUGUGGUUUAAUUCGAAGCAACGCGAAGAACCUUACCAAAUCUUGACAUCCUUUGAAAACUCUAGAGAUAGAGCCUUCCCCUUCGGGGGACAAAGUGACAGGUGGUGCAUGGUUGUCGUCAGCUCGUGUCGUGAGAUGUUGGGUUAAGUCCCGCAACGAGCGCAACCCUUAAGCUUAGUUGCCAUCAUUAAGUUGGGCACUCUAGGUUGACUGCCGGUGACAAACCGGAGGAAGGUGGGGAUGACGUCAAAUCAUCAUGCCCCUUAUGAUUUGGGCUACACACGUGCUACAAUGGACAAUACAAAGGGCAGCUAAACCGCGAGGUCAUGCAAAUCCCAUAAAGUUGUUCUCAGUUCGGAUUGUAGUCUGCAACUCGACUACAUGAAGCUGGAAUCACUAGUAAUCGUAGAUCAGCAUGCUACGGUGAAUACGUUCCCGGGUCU
rnacentral:rRNA from 1 species